rnacentral:lncRNA from 1 species
UUUUUUUUUCUACGGACCAGGCACGAAAGCAUGAAAGGGAAUGCGAUCAACUUGAAUACACUGUGGACGGACGUGACCUUGCAAGGUGAAUAAAUACAAGUACUUCCUCCGUCCCUUUGAAUGUAUCUAUACACUAAGUCAUGUCUAGAUACAUCCAAAUUUUGACAAACUUGAAACAUCUUUUGUUAUACGGAGAGAAUACAUCACCAUGGAAGGUUCGAAGCAGCUCCGCUCAAACCACGGGCAAAGCCACGGGGGCAUGUACAACAUGUUGAUAAGACCGUCUUUUUAUUUGUUUAAACAAGACAACAAAAUAUACUGUACAAUAGGUCAUCUCUUAGUAACAUAUCUUACAAUUAAUGCCUAGAUGAACAAAUUAAUAAAAUAAAUGUUAAGAAAAAAUGAAUUCUACUACAAUGGAGAGUUUGUCUUUUCUUUGUCUUAUCUUUCUUGUGACGAGAUCAUCUCUUAGAUAAGAGAAGGCUCAUGCCUUUUUCACACCUCUUUCCUCCACAUGAUCAGCAAUUAUCCGAGAGUAAAAUGCAUUGGAGGUCCUACUUCUUUCGUAAAUGUCUCAAGUUAGUCCCAAUUCUUUAAAACUGUACGUUUGAGUCCCAAUUGUUUCAUAAGUGGUUCAACACAAGUCCUAAUGUGGCUCGGGCGCGUGUCUACUUUCGACGUGGCUACUUGGGCCCACAUGCCAGGUGACAGGGUGGACUCCCUUUUGCAAAAAGCUCCCUGCCAUCUCGCUUUUCCCCUCCCCGCUAGAAAUCCUCGGCGACGGCGGCAUCAGAGAGUUGGAGAGGAGACGACUCCGGGUGUGGGAGAAGAGGGGAGAUAGAGAGAGGGAGCGAAGAAAUGAGGGGAGCGGGAAUGCGCGGGGAGGAUCCAAGGAAGAGGGGGCACUGAGGGGACGGCCUGGACAGGACGGGGCGGAGCAAGUGCGGCCAGGAGGUUGCUGGCGGUGAGGAGGACCAGAGAAGGGCAGAAGAAGAGAAAGAGGAGAGUGGACAUGGGGGAGAGAAGAGAGGGAGGCAUGGUUUUUUUUUUGCAAAAGAAAGUCCACCCUGUCACCUGACAUGUGUGGGCCCAAGUAGCCACGUGCCCGAGCCACAUUAGGACCUUUGUUGAACCACUUAUGAAACAAUUAGGAUUCAAACGUGCAGUUUCAAAGAAUCAAGACUAACUUUGACCUGUACGAAAGAAUUAGAACCUUUGAUGUAUUUUACUCAUUAUCCUACAUGGCGGCCUUAAGAAAAGAAUGUGUCACCCCAUUGUACACGCCCUAACACAACACCCCCCAUCCCAUAUACACGCCCUAACACAACACCCCCCACCCCAAGAUGGCCAACAAUCUAUUAAUAAUCAUCAAGGUAAUACAGAGAUCUCUAAGGUUCUUCAACCACCUAGCGACGGCAACAAGCAGUAGAACGAGCCGAAAGCAGGCCACCGUCUUUGCCCCUUCAUCACCAGAGCCGGUCAGAUCUCGCCAAAAGAGAGCUUGUGGAACCAACACAUCAGAGUUGCAACCAUCCCCAAAGAUUAAAAUCAUAGAUCAGAAAAGCCAGACUCGAAACCACACUAUAAACACGAAAGCUGAUCGAAACCCAAGGUCGCUAGAUCGAAACAACCACACAGCUCCACCCAACCUCUGUCGGUGCUAGGGGUGGGCGUAAAAAACCGAAACCGAAUCCAAAUUAACCGAAACCAAAACCAAAUUAGCCGAAACCAAAUUAUCUAUUUCUAGUUUUGGUUGCUAAGUGUAAUUAACUGGAUUUUAUUCGGUUAUUAACCUCGGUUAACCCAAUUGAUGAUAAAUAGUCCAAAACCUAUCUUGUUAUGCACUCGUAUCUAUUUUAUUAUAUAUUGUGUAUGAUGUUUUUUUGAAACUUUGAUGCAACUUAAAGCUUACAAGAGCUUCAGUUAUGGCAAAGUUUCUCUAUUUAAGACUUCUAGUCAUAUAUGUGUUGCAAAUUCUACUAAAUUCAUGAUUUGAUGUUGUCUAUUUUAUUAUCAGUUCACAAGUUCGGUUAUAUUGGUUUAAACCGAAACCGGACCGAAGUUUUCGGUUGACCGAAUUGUCGGUUAGCUAAAAAACCGACAAUAUUUCGGUUGACAUUUCUCAUUAACCGAAUUAUUGAAAAACUGAAAAAACCGAACCAAAUUUCGGUUAAACCAAACCGAACACCCACCCCUAGUCGGUGCUAGGUGCACCAACGAAGCGAAGACAAGGCGGGGAGGACCUUAGUCUGACUAAUUUAGCCCCUGAACUUCAAAACCGGGUAUUUAAUCCCCUGAAUUUUGCAAAACCAUACAAGUCACCCCCAAAGACCACAUUAUGUUGUUUUUGCGAGCUGUUUUGUUGGCGUGGUGCCUAGCAACUGUCACGAUGUCAGCUUAGGGCGGUAAUCAGUUUGAGAUGAUCUAUAUAUAACAAAACAUUAUCACUUCAGUUGCAUAUCAAAACUUGAAACUAAAAAAGAGCAUGAAUUUAUCAUGCUUACCACAAUGUAGAAAUAGCAUACACUUGUCCAAAAUCUAAGAUAGCUUGAACCCGAGCAUGCUUAACAUAUUGAAAUAUCUAAAUUAACGGGACACUAUUAACCCCCACGACGAGCGCGAGUUUCUUCUUCUACCUAAUUUCACCUCUGGGCACGAACCCUAGUUUUUGGAACGGAAAACGGGAGGAAAAUAAUAGGGGAAUGGAUAAUAAGGAAAAGUAGGGAAACUUAGGGGGUUUUCACCCAUAUAAACCAACUGAUCCCCACACUAAAACUGACAUUAUGGCAUUUGUCAGUCGUCACGUCAGCAAAGCCGCAUACGAAAAUAGCUUAGGUUGCCUUGGGGAGUGUUUAUCUGGUUUUGCAAAGUUCAGAGGGUAAAGUACCCGGUUUUGAAGUUACAGAGGUAAAGUAGUCCUGCCCUCGUAGUUCAGGAGGUCAUAUGGACUUAACUUAUUUCUUUUCUAGUAUCUAAGUUCGACAUUCUAGAAAAAGAAAACAAUCUGGUGCAAAGUUCAAAAUAUGACGAUGAUAUUACAUGUGGGACAUAUAUAGCUUCUAAGUUGGAAAAAAAUGCAUUGCAUGUGUAAGUUUGCUACUCCCUCGGAUCCGGUAUAACUUUGUACUAAAUCCAAUACGCUUUUUAUGGAUACGAGGGAGUAUUGAUUUACAAAUUGUAUGCCCAGGUGACUGAAAUUCAAACUCCAGUGGUCUUGCUCAUUAGCAAAAAAAAAUAUGUGGAAAUUAAAAAAAAUGUUCAUUCUAUUGUAAAAUUAGUCAUCACUAGGUGAUAAGUUGUUCAUCAGUGCAAAGGAAUGCGAACUGUUCAUGUAAAUAAAAAAGAUGCAGUAUAUCAGAUCGUAAAUUCGUAGCUGCUCAUUAAAAUUCCACUUAAAAAAACAAACAUUUUCAAGGAGCUGAUCUCUUUGUAAUAAUUUUUUCACUGAUGCCCGAAAGAAAAGAAUUUAUUAUCUUAGCCUUAAAAAACAUCCGUGUACAUUGUAAAAAAUGUUUAUCACUUGGUAAUAGUUUGCUCACUAGGAAUCGAUGAAAGUUCAAAAUGUUUGAGGUGACCGCGCAGUAUCAUAUCAUAAGUUAUAAUCUCUCCAUCCCAUAUUAAAUGACUUUUCUAUUACAUGUAUCUAGACGUUUUUUAGGCAAAGAUAGAUUCAUAUUUGGACAAAACUGGAUCACCUUUCCCGCAGUCGGAUUCUUUCGGCUGCGUCUAUUGACAAUAAAUAGCCCGCUUACUGUGGUUUUGUCAAAAAAAAAAUUGAACAAAUUUGAAUCACUUAAUAUGGAACGGAGGAAGUGUUGGAGAAAGAAAUCAGAGUAAGCAUAAAGUCAAGGUGACAAGCACACACAGAGAAGUCGAACCAGUUUCCGGAAUGUACGUCGUUCUCUAGCGUGCAAAUUCCACAAAGAUGCUAGGCAUCUCUCCUUUUCUGUCCCCUUAGGUACCGGACCGUGCGAUUAUGUCGCCGUUCAUUAUCUCGCUUGCUGGUGUUGUUGCCUUUUGCCUGGCCUCUGAUCCGGCUUCAGCGGCGACGGACACCGUAUCGGUGCGGCAGCCGCUGCAGCUGCAGGGCGGCGACACGAUGGCCUCGGCACAGGGCAAGUUCGUGGUAGGCCUCUUCAGUUCUGGCAGGUCCGGCCGGUUCUACCUCGGCAUCUGGUACAAAAACGUCCCGGUCCAGACCGUCAUCUGGGUCGGCAACCGCGCCAAUCCCCUGUCAAGCGCUGCGUCCGCCGAGCUCCGCGUGUCCAGCGACGACGGCAACCUGGAGCUCGUCGGCCUCUCAGGUCCCUCUGCCGCGCCUGGCGUCGUGUGGUCGUCAAACCUGUCCUCAUCCGCGACAACGGCAACCUGGUCCUCCUCGACGGCGGCAAUUCCUCCAAGGUGCUGUGGCAGAGCUUCGACCACCCAUCGGACACGCUGGUGCCGGAGGCGUGGCUCGGGGAGAACAAGCUGACCGGCGAGUACUAGGCGCUGGCGUCGUGGCGGAACGCCGAGGACCCGUCGCCGGGGAUGUUCUACGACACGGUGGACCCCGGCGGCAGAAGCGAGUUCUUGUACCAGCGGAACCGGUCCCGGACCUACUGGCGGAGCGGCGUGUGGACGGGCCGCGUCUUCGCGGGGACACCCGAGGCGACCCGCAACGUGCUCUUCAACCAGACGUACGUACGUGGAGACGGCCGCGUACCGGCGCGUCACCAGCGUGCUCUACCACAACGACACCUUCACGCGGAUGGUGCUGGACCUCACGGGGCAGACCAAGCAGUACAUCUGGGUGCCCGCGAGCCAGAGCUGGCAGCUCUUCUGGGCCGCGCCCACCGGGGAGUGCGACGUCUACGCGCUCUGCGGCCCGUUCGGGGUCUGCGACCCGAGAAGCCAGUCGUCGUGCAGAUGCCCUCCCGGGUUCGCGCCGACGGAACAGCGGGACUGGGAGCUUAGUGACUGGAGCGCCGGGUGCCGCCGGAGAUCGCCGCUCGGCUGCGCAUCCACCGACGGGUUCGUGCUGCUGCCGGGCGUGAAGCUCCCUGACGACUCGCUCAACGUGGGCGCCGCCGCCAAGAGGAGCAGAGCAGAGUGCGAGUCCGCUUGCCUUAACAACUGCUCUUGCCAGGCCUACUACACCUUCUCCUUCUCCGGCGGGUGCGGCCUCUGGCACGGUGACUUCCGCAACCUUCAGCAGCUCUACACGGACUCCGGGCUCUCCGGGCCUUCGGGAGACCUGUAUCUCCGGCUUUCCGAAUCAGGACUGCGAGAUUUGCGCGGCGCGGAACGGAAGAAAGGGAGGAAAAUAUGGUGGCUUGUUCUACUUUUCAUUAUAUUUGGAGGAUUGGGCGCAUUGGCACUAGUGGCAUGGAGGAUUCUUGUUUCCAGGAGACGCCGACUAGGCAGCAUGGACGGCACCUCCUUGGAGGUGUACAGCUACAGGGAUCUCCGUGCUGCCACGAAGAACUUCUCGGAACGGCUGGGCGGCGGAGGCUUCGGCUCUGUAUACCGCGGCGUCCUGAAGAAAAAAGAUACCCAAACCCAACUGGCAGUGAAAAAGCUGGAAAGCCUCCGGCAGGGCGAGAAGCAGUUCCGGACGGAGGUGAGCACGCUGGGGCGCAUCCAGCACGUACGUCAACCUGGUCCGGCUGUUGGGCUUCUGCUCCGAAAAGCACAAGCUGCUGGUGUACGAGUACAUGCCCAAUGGCUCCCUGGACGGUUACCUCUUGGGAAGCUCGUCGUGCUGCCCGAGAUGGCGCGACCGCUACGCCAUCAUGUUGGGCGUGGCCAGAGGGCUGGUGUACUUGCACGACGGCUGUAGCGACCGUAUCAUACACUGCGACAUCAAGCCGGAGAACAUACUUCUGGACGAGGAGCUGCGGCCCAAGAUCGCCGAUUUCUGGAUGGCAAAGCUGGUGGGUAGGGACUUCAGCCGCGCGCUGACGACGAUGCGGGGCACCGUUGGGUACCUCGCCCCCGAGUGGAUCUCGGGGAUGCCCAUCAGCGCGCCGACGUGUACAGCUAUGGAAUGGUGCUCUUCGAGCUCGAUCAUCUCGGGCCAGCGCAACGCCGAUGGCUACAGCUCCCUCCACGGCAGGGACAACAUUAGCAACAGCACUUUUUUUUCCCGUGUGGGCUGCGGGGAAAGUGGCAGAGGGGGAGGUGGGCGCCGUCGCGGACCCGCGAAUGCAUGGCGACGUCAGCGAGGAGGAGCUGGAGCGAGCGUGCAGGGUGGCGUGCUGGUGCAUCCAGGACGAGGAGGCGCAACGGCCCACCAUGGCGCAGGUCCUGCAGGCUCUGGAGGGUGUCAUCCACGUCGACGCACCACCUGUGCCCCGAGCACUGCAACACCUCGUCUCACUCACUUAAUGUUGUUCUAGCACGAAAAAUAUGUGAAGAUAAAUUCAUACCAAUCAUAUUUAUUUCAUGAUGACCGUUCAAACGUUUGGGCCAACUCAUAUUAGCUUAGUAUUGUUCACUGUCCUCUCAUGGUUAUAACUAUGAAUCUAAGAUAGACUAAUGGCAUCUCUAUCGGGUUCACUAAAUUGGUUUUCAGUCUUUAAAAAUUAUGAGCUCGUUCGGAGCUGUGAAGGCAUUAUGUCAGAUUGCUUGAUAAAAAAGACAUGCAAAUAGAAGAAAAAUAAGCGAAAAAGAGAACUAGGUCACUGCCAGGUGCAACCCCCACCAUUGUGGGAUGGGGCAAAAAAUUAGCGAUCCACUUGUUGAGAAACUGCAGUAGAAGAACAAUUUUUCUUGCAAAAAAUUUGUAUCUUAUCUGUAAAAGUGGAACUACCUUUUGAGGUAAUGUACUAGAGAUUAGUUCUUUUGGUACUGCUGUAGUUACUUUGUAAUCUGUUAAGAACUAAAUAGACCUGAAGUGGAAAUUAAACGUUUGCUACUUCCUGCAUCAAUUGAAUGUAGGCCAGUUUGUUGUAUGUCUUGAAAACUUCAUCAUUAGAUACGACAUGAUUUGGAUAAAGAGGAUUCUUCCAACAUCUUCAUCCGGCCAUAUGUAUAUAGAUGGAAUCACUUUUCCACACACAUAUUGCCUCAUAACUUCCCUAUACACAACGACCGAUUUCAUUUCGAAAGUUCCUUUUUCUCUAUUUUGAUUUUUUCUAGCUGUUGGAGUUUUUUUCACAAAGGAUCAAACUCAAAUUAUGUCAUCAAAGUUUACACUACCAUAUUAUCAUAUCUAGGUCUUGCAACUGCCAUUAAGAAUAUUGCUUUUCAUAUGUUUCUUCAGGAAGAAGGUAGUAUAUGGCUUUUUUUUCAGUAAUAUCAAACUACUUAUUAAUAAGCACAGUGUUAGUCAUAUCUUUGCAUUAAAUGCAGAACUUUAAUCUGGCUGGUAUCUUAAGUUAAAUGCAGAACAUCAAUGUUGUGCCGCGUGUUUCGGUUAAUACUCUAGUGCUUUGGCUCCAAAAUUCUAAAACGUUUUCUUUUCUGUCCAAAAUUCAGUUCAUUUGAUAUCAGAUUUGCUAUUGCAGUUGCUUGUUUUUAUUUUUUAUUUUGAAUUGGUGACUGUUCGAUUAAGUGCAUUGAGAUCCGAGUUUGGCGUCGGUCUGCACGGCAGAAAUUUGCUUCGUUACAAACAGGGAGCGGUGGGUUGGGCUUUAUUCCCAUUUGGUCUUGUCACGGAGAGGGCAUACAAGUUUGGUGGAUGCAGGAUAGUGGAUGCAGAAUCGAGCAGCGCGGGAUGCAGCGUUAAUUUAUUUUGUUUUUGUAGUGAGGCUUGGCGUCAAUCUACGUUGGUCUCAUUUGUUGGGUUGCCAAUUUUGUUGUUGAGUAACGGGCUCAGUGGGAAUCAGCAAGCGGCAAGGUUGAUGUGGUACGCAGUCGGUCUUGGUGCGGUUGAUUUAUUUUUAUCCUGUUGUACACAUGCUUAUAUAUCCGUGUGUCUUUUGUCUAUUUUAUUUUUAUUGAACAUGCUUUAUGGGGUGAGCGGGCACCCCUAUUUAAACAAAAAUCAUGGGAUGUAUGACAUGUGUCAUCAUCCUAGUCAUCUUACUAUAAAUAAAAGACCAUAUGAUUUAUGACAUGUGUCAUCAUCCUAAUCAUCCAACUAUAAAUAUUUAUUUUCUAAACUACUCUUCUAAGAUAUCGUAGUCCGAAAAUUUCUUACUUCUUCAUGAAGAUAUUGUUCUAGUGUCUUACAUGGUAAAUUCAUUCAUUUCCAUGUAAUCUUAAGUCUUGUACUCCCUCCGUCCCAAAAUAAGUGACGUGGGUUCAUAGAAGAAUUUGGGACGGAGGGAGUAGAAUAUUUCAAUUUUCUCAUGACAAACAUUCUCAGAGCUCUCAUCGUAAAUAUUUUACUCCUCCAACUAUCCAUAGUAUUCUAGAAUCUUACGAAGUGUGCAUUGCUAAUUUUGAACAUAGAUCGUGCUGCUCGUCACCAAUGAGGAUUGCGGUGCUCUUUUUCGGUAUCCUGUUGGUGUUUCUGAGAAUGGCACAUUUGGCACCCCCUCGCUGCUCUUGUGUGUUGAGUCGCCCCUUCGAUCUGACCCUGUUAGCGCCAUGGGCAGGUGUUGAACCCAUCCAUGUCAAGUUGGUAAAGACGACUCCAACAGGGCGACCCAAAAGACUGAGCCGGCAGGUCUUGAGAGAUUGACGAAGUCAUCGCUGGCGCCUCGCUGUUGACAGGUACAUCACAUACCACUGAAAGAAUAGCGCUGGUUAAAUUCUGAAAUAAUCAUAGGAACCAGACAGCGAGGAGACGAUUGGAAGGUAAUUUUUUUUUUUUUGCUCUCGAACUGCUGUCCUAUCCGCUCGCAACUCCUUGCGUACACACUUCACUGCUUAAGAAAGUAUUCGAUGCCCUCUUCUUCGCCAGAUUUGAUUUUGCGUCGAACGCCUUCGUUGAUGUCGGUUGUCGGGUCCUGCCAAACAAUGUAGAAGGAGGCCAACACACAGGGUGAGUCCAUACUACAGUUUAGUCAUCUGUCGCCCAUGGCAGUUGAGUCCACACGAAAGAUGACUUGCCAGUUCUCUUCCCGACCACUGCUUCUUUCAUGAGAAGCUGCCCCCAUUUGAUUCCCAGUUUCCGUUUUCUGAUUCAGGGGAUGGAUACACCUCGAGGUGAUUUUGUACUGUCGGUCUGAUAAACCUAUGUUUGUUAAUGCCUCUUUCAAUGUUGAUAACCUGAAUGCCUCAAUAUUGAUAGCAGCAUGGGAGAGGAAUUCAGGAGCGCAGGCAACGACGAUUGUACAGGCAAUGCGCUGAUUUACUAUUUGCCAGGUCUCUUUUUUGAAUCUGGUAUAUCCUUCACGAUGAGCCGGCGCCAUUUGUGUCCGAGAGCCCCCUGUCUGGUUCAGUGGAUGGAUACAACUCGAGGUGACCUUUGCUUUUUAUUUCGGAUAGAAAUAUGUUUAGUAUUUUUGGGUUUGCUGGAUGUAAUAAUCUGUCUUCCGAGUCCAGUGUUGACAGCAGCAUGGGAGAGGAUAUGAGAAGUGCAGACAUUGAUACUGUUUUGGAUGAAGACACCGACGCUGAUUUUCUUUUCAGCGACACUGAUUCUGAUUGUGAGGUCAAUGCUGAGACCCCUGCUGGCGGCACUGACAACGUGGAGCUGCCAGGUGCCGAUAAUCCUCCCACCGAACAUCCUGGUGGCUUUGAUGCAAAUCAUAGCCUAGCACCAACUUCCUAUGAACGACAUAUUCCAAAACACCUUAUGAACGAAGGUCAGUAAUUCAUUACACUAUCCCAUAUGCUUGUACCUCCAGGGCAAAUAAGUUCAUAUUCGCCUGUGCUUAUCCUGAUUUAUUUUUACUGAUGCCGGUGGAAUAGUAAUGUUUGCUUGUGAUACAUAUUUGUUUGGUAAAGUUCUGUACAAACAUUGCUUUGAAAAGAGAGUAAGACUGGCCGGUCCUUCAAUUUUUAUCAAUUAAAAGUAGGCUCCAGCUUGUUUAGGUUUUUUUUUUUUGGCGCUAACUGAUUUUGGACACAGAGUAUGACUUGCUUGUGGUCAAGAUUUUUUGAUAUAUGUCUGUACAAAAACUGCCUUUGGAAGAGAGUAAAACUGGCUGGUGCUUCAAUUCUUGUCAACCAAACAAAUUAGGCUUCAGUUUGUUUUGGUAUAUUUUUGGCACUAACAUGAUUUUGGACACAGAGUAUGACUUGCUGGUGCUGCAGUUUUUUACUCAUUAGUAUAUCUUAUAUACAUAGCACAAAGAGUUGAACUUGAUUCCAGUUAUGGUGCUCAUGAUUGUUGUUCUAUCACGUUCUAUUUCAAUAAUUUGCAAUAUCCAAAAAAAGCAUCGAAGAGUUAUAUAUCUCCCGUUCUUAUGUACACUAAUUUUAUUAUUACUGCCUUCUGUCAAAAGGAAAUGAUACCCGAAGGAUGCUGUGUUACCUGAAAUUAGUCCCAGCAGAGGUAUGGACGCAGUCGAGAUUACGCUGCGGCAAGUCGGCGGAAAGCCUACGGAACACAUAAUCUACGAGUUUUAUAUUUUGUACUCAUGGGAAGUCGGUUUCGGUACAAGGUAUGGGAAUAGCUUCAGGAACCACAAGAACAAUACCAGAUGAUGCAACACUUCGACUGCACAAACGCGGUAAUUUUCUUUCAAUACAUGAUACUAUGAUAGUCCAGUGUCAAUCGUACUCACUACUCAGCAGUUUGAGUUCUUCAAUCUUACUUGUUACCUGUGUGCUUCUCUUCAGGGCGAUGAACCAAUCACAGAGGUUGCAAUGUCCAGACAGGCUUAGGUUGCUCCGGACAAGAGACCAUGGUUGGUACGUGCCCUGCACCUAGCUACCUGGACGGGCGCCCUAGUGGGAUGCACAAAAAAAUUCUUUAGAGGGUGGCGUGCAACCAAGGAGAAGUUGUUGGUAACUAGCGUGGACACCGGCAUGACCGACGGGUGCCGGAAGUAAGUUGUAGUUUUUUAUAAUCCAAUAUUCCAUUAUACUUUCGAUGGAAUUCUAAUGUGCUUCAUACACUAGGUACCAUUCUGGCCUGUUCACAGCACAUUAUGCUCGUUGGUACGAGGGCCCGUCAUUACUUAGGCCGAUUGCUGGUGUAAGUAAGCUUGUCAAUUGCCUUUGUUGAGAAUGCCUCAGUUGUAUUUUGGAUGUUGGCGUCUUACUGUUUGUUUUUUGUUUUCUUACCAGUCAGGUCUUUUCGACACAAGAACGGACUUGCGAUACCAGCUGAUCAUGAUGGGAGAGAACUCCACUGAGCUUCGAGACGAGUUCUAUUCCCUACGAUAUUUCUAGCCUGUGAUGUAAUGUGUCGUUCUCUGAAUUUGUUAUCGCGACGCUAGAUGCUAUGCUCGAAGAUGGACGAGUUUAAUAGAACAUCACUUUUUGUUGUGAAAUGAUAUUAUGGCCUAUGCAGCCUAAUUAAUUAUGUGUACUUUGUUUGUAAGCUAGGGCGGUGAAGCCUUGCGAACACACAGGCCCUAUCAAAUCAGCAUGGCUUUUGUUAUCGCAUAGUUAUUCUCUGCAUUUUGUCCCCAAUGGAGCACUCACAUGAACCAGCUCAUUUUCUGGGCACAUGGGCUGUGACUGCAUGGACAUCGCUUUGGUAUGCGUAGAUCAUCUUAAGAAGGUCGUGGUGUGUGAUGUUAUGAUGUAUUAUAGAGCCUUUUCAAAGGGACGGUGGCUCAAUUUGAAAGUAGCAGUAGCACAAUUUGAUAGAGUAAGCUUUGUUUCAAGAUUCUUCCUAGAGAGCAACGAUCAAUUACUACCAUAGUGGAAACAUGAGUAGUUACAGCUGUUGAUAGAAGCUGUGUCAUCAAUGGACAACUUUUGAAACAUCAAUUUAAAUUUCAGGGAAAAUCAUUAUUGUCCCUAAAACAUAGUGGAGUGCGUAUAAUGAAUCACUACAACAUUAGGCAAACGCAAAAUCUUAGAUAGCUAGAUCGGUUUACCUCUAACACAUGGUAAGGGGCCUGGCCUGCCAAAGAGCUGAAACUCCAGCUACCAUGAUAGCAAAAGCAGCCAGAAGAGCAAGCUUCUUGUCCUUGGUCUCAAGUUCUCUUCUGCUCGGGCUCGGCGACUUGAAAUUCAAGCUCUUUGUUGCGCAGGUCCAUCUUGAGGUUCUCAGCCUCAGCCUUAUCUCAAGAUCCAUCUGCAACAUAACCAACUGCGCGUUCUUCUUUGCCCACAGAGACAGUCGACGACGUUCAAUGAAGUCGUGCCUUGGAACUGCAUCAACAGACAACAGGAGCCCCGGCAUCAACUAGGAUGGAUGGUCCGCCUCGAACUCGCGAAUGAGCUGGAAAAUAGAAUACGAAGCGUGGAUUAAUCACUGGGUAAUUAAAAAGGAGUAGAACUGUAUGCCCGGAUCCAAACUCACCUGGUAACGGGGCAAGGAAUCAGAAGUUUCUGAGGAUCAAGACAUUGUCUUUUUGCGUCGACGAGGACCAAGACAUUGUCGAUUGUGCUUUGAUGCAGACGUUUGGUACCAGUGGGCAGUGGGUUUGUUCGUCUGAUGAGAAAUGCAAAUGAACUGGAGGUUAGAGAGAUGAUAUGGGGCUGCAGGCAACUUUGCCUGUGUAGGAACCCACUGUCAGAACGAGCUUCACGCAGCACAAAUGGUGUCCAUUGGGGCUAGCGCGGUGCAGAGGCCACAACCCGGCGGGCCAUUUGUUCUGAAAAGAUAUGACAUGAACAGUACAUAGAUCAGCAAUGCAUGCUCAUGUUCGUUUUGGCAAUUUGCAAAGCACCUUGGCGUCGACGGACCUCAGGCCAUACCCUUUCGGCUCGGAGUGUGCUAGCCUUUUGGCACAUGCGUCUGCAUGGACAGUGUGCAUGGAUGAUACGUGGAAAUGUGCAGGUGGCCCUGGCUGUACCGGGCCAUGCCGUGCGGAGAUAUACCGGAGCUCUACAAGACAGCCUUGCUUUUUGAACACUUCGACCGUCUUAUAUGAUCCCAUGCAGGGGCGGAGCCAGGAAAGGCAACCAUGGGUUUCACUCCACUAUAAUCAUGGGGUUCAUAUGUAGUAUUGGGUCCAAUUUCUAUUGAAUUUGGUGUUUUUAUUAAGUUCGUCUGAACCCAAUGCAUGCUUAUACUGUAGCUCCGCCCCUGAUCCCAUGUGUAAAAAGGACCUCUCGAGCCUGCACAGGGAGUGUGCAUAAUUUAGCAAAAAUGCAGCUGUUCAAGCUUGCCAACUAAGCAUGUGCGUAAUUAGAAAGCUGAAGGAUAGUGAUGCUAUGAGGUCACACAUAAUCGCAACAUGUUCGAUAAUCAGUCUCACGAGUCCACUUUUUUCGAGUGAAGUUUUAUCACAAGAGCCAAAUCGGAUGGCAAAGCAGGAUCCUUGAAAAGGUGUGGCUCUGUGAAAAUGUUUUUUUUGGGUAAAAUGAAAAAUCCUUGCCCUGUGAACUUAUGUUGAGAACCCUGGCACGUAGAAGCUUACUAUACAAAUUAUUUGUAGGUAUAUUAGCUUGUCCGGUAAAAUAAAACGUGAGUUUAUAUAAAUAGUGAAUUGACAUAAACUUCACUCGAAGAAAGUGGACACGUGAGACUGAUUAAACUUCCCUCGAAUGUUGCUGUGCAAACAUUACUUUGGAAAGAGAGCAAAACUGGCCGGUGCUUCAACGGCUUUCAUCAAUCAAUAAUUGGAUUUUUUUUUUUUCCUUCUCUCGCCGUGGGAGAAAACAGCUAUGUAGGAACUAUAUAAAUCAGGAACGAGUGUUAUGGAGAAAUUAAACGUGUGUAUGGUGAGGGGGAGAAUUAACAAGAGGCUGCGGCAACUUUUGAUUAUGCAGGGCCCACUGUCAUGCACACACUGCAAAAUACCACACAUGGCGUCCAUUGGGGCAACCGAAAUGCAUGACCCACAAACCAUUUGAUUUAAAACAAAAAUGCAUGUCCUGUGUGUAACAACUGUCCACCGCAGGACAUCCAAAGUGCUUUGACUGAACGGUACAGAUCAACGCAGAGGAUGCAGUGUUCGCUGGUCACCAACACACAUGCUAGAGCUUGAUUCCGUGACCUUGAAAAUGAGUUAGACUGAACGUCGCCUUUCGGUUGUUCUGCACAGCAACGUUGGCCACGAGCGCAACCUAUGUAGUCUCAGCGCGGCUGCAGGAUACAUGGCUAAUUCCUACCAGCAUUCCUGAUAGGACGCAUUUAACAUGUUCUAGUCUGCAUCAGGCUUAGAUUUCGUGAUUGGUACCCCUUUUUUGUGGCGAUUAUCUAGUUCAUUCCUUUCAUACAACCAUUGGUAUUGAAUAAUGUCAAGCAAUGUUGCGAGACGACGCUUUGGGAAGGAUAUAUCAAUCCGUUAAAAAAAAUGUAAGAACACACCGUAGCUGUCCUGUGGGCAAGCCUUCUUAUUGGAUAUUUAUCCGUACGGGUCAUCUUUCUUUGAUUUCAGGCUGCACAAUUGUUGCCGAACCACAUCAGAUCGUAUGGUCUUGAAACCAUUUCCAGCAUGCAUGUUUUGCAUUAGAAGCUUCAUUUUUAAGUCUACUCCAGUUCAUGAAUUUUAUACCUGAACUAAGAAACACCGACACUAAAGCCUUGAUUAAGUACUGUUUCAUUCUUAUAAUACAUCUUCAUAGGUGUGUUAGCAGGUAUGUAGCUUCAUAAAUUUGAUGCCUGGACUGAACCCAAACACUGAACCAUUAAUUUUUGUCUUGUCUCAGUCUUAUAAAACAUGUUUGGCUCUAUAAUAAACAUAUUCAAUGCGAGCUACGCGGAUCAAAAAGGGGUUAACCUGGAAAGGAUAAAGAAGUGUACAUGGUCCAUCCAUGGAGACCCAAAGUACAUGGAUUUCCGCAAGAGCAUGUCAGCACAAGCAUAGACAGAGGGGACAGAUUCAGGUAAGAGUUUGCAGUACAUGAUAUCAGGAGACGCAGUAGAUGAUCAGAUAUGAACACUUGGGGCACAUCACAUGGCUCCAGGGGCACAAACACAUCUUUUGGGAGCCUAACACAUUUGGAUGAGAUUUUGAGAUUGGCUGUCGGAGAGACUGGCUGUUGGACCCAUGCACCGUAAACAAGCCAAUAAAUAAAGAUGCACCUGAAUAAGGUUGUAGAUGUACUAAAAACUGUGGUCAAGUAAAUCCUAUAAGAGAAUCAAUAUUAAUGUGAAGUUUAAUCACAAUACCCAAAACGGAUGGCAUAUCAGACGCAGCUCCAGGGCGCGGUUAGCGCCUCGCUAGUGGACAAUGCGCUCCUCAAAGCUGCAUACACCAUCUUAUCUAGUUUAUGUGUGUUGUGUACAUUUGCAACCUGUUCUGCUGGAACCAGGAAAGGCCAAAUGCUUCUUAUAUGUACUCAUUUUUUACAGUCUUGCAUGGCUUGUGAAUUCGCUGUUUCUCUGGCAUGGAAGUGUAUUCUCAAAAUCAUUUAGCUUGGCAACAAGGUAUAAUUAUAUUAUCAGGUCCAUAAGUACAGCCGUAAAGAAAUAUGAUCUUCAUGCGAAAAGAAAUUUUUAGUUACUCAAAACAUCCCUGAAGCAUUCCAUCCCUGAGCUGGAAUACACACAUAAAGCUUUGUGUAAGAACUGUCUCGCAACACCGGUUAUCUUUUGACAAAAUGUGACAUGAGGAACACAUAUGGGACAGAUUCACAUGUCCGGUCAUAAAGUUGCCAAUGCCCAUCCUUGCGACCCCAAGUUGGCAGGAAGACAGAAGCUAAAAUUCAAACAUAUACUUUCGGCAAUUGUGCAGAUCUUUUUUGCAAUGUUACAGAUUUCAAUUCAUGAAAGAAGCAGUGCCGAGCAUCUAGGAACAACUUUUUGCCUGCAUGACUAGUUCAAAAUGUGGUUCAUAGAGCAAACUGUUAAUCAACUUGGAGCUCAAGAUUCAUGUAUAACCAUCCCGCAGAAACGAAAAGGGUGUGUUUAUUUCUCAGUCACCUAAAAAAUAGUUAUUUCUCAGUCGACAAUCGUAGCCAUCCAAUGAAGAUUUUUUUUAUCCAUCGGAUCUACAUUAAUCUCAAUCUCAAUGAUUGAAUCAAAAGAUUGUUAUCAUCGACUAAGAAAUACUCCCUCCGAUCCAUAUUAGUUGUCUCAAAUUUGUUCAAAUAUGGAUGUAUCUAUGACUAAAAAGCGUCUAGGUACAUGUAAUAUUUUGACAAUUAAUAUGGAUUGGAGGGGUAGUUAUUUCUCAGUCGCCUAAGAAAUAGCAAAACCAUUAUUCAAACGAGCUUGACAUGGUUCACUCUUGUUAUCAACAAAUCCAGGAGCCAACACUUUUUAUAUUUCCCAAAAAGGGCAGGAGAGACAUAUUGUACUUGAUUAUCGUUUUGAGCUUUUUUUUCUCACAGUUUGAUAGUGCAGUACACCUGUAGCACAGAUACAAGCACUGGCCUCUCAUUUAUUUCUGAAACUAGAAACACAUAACUGCAGCCAACAUGAACGCUAUAGUAGUCAGGCAUAAAUACAUUUUGUUUUUGUUCUUGAACUUCUUGAGAUCCGCAAGUCCUUCUUGAGAUUAUCAUCGUCAGCUCUAUCAAGAUCAAUCUACAAGACCUACAACUGUGAGUUCUUCUCUGCGACAGACGGCUUUGCAUGAAAUUCAUGGGGUUCGGAUCGAUAGGAACCAUGCAUCCUAGUAGGCUGCAUGGUUCUGCCUCGAACUCGCCAAUGAGUUAACAUGAAUAAAAUGGUGGAACUGGAGCGAACAAAACUCAUAACACGGAGGCGGAAACUCACCGCGUAACGAAAUGAUGAGCCCGACGCUUCUGUCGAAGACAUUGUCAAUGCCGCGUUGCCCGCUUGCUGCAUUGGAUCUGUUCCUCUUUAUAAGAAGUGUAAACGACUCGAAGGUGGGGGAAGUGAUGAUCAUGAAAUCAGGAUUGAUUCUGGUAUUUGAAGUGUCCAUGGAAAAAGGACUACUGAAAUUGAAAUGAGGGUGCGGUGAGGGGUAUAAGUGUAAAUAGGCUGCAAUGUCGUUUGAAUAUGCAGGACCACUGUCAUCCAUAUACUGCAAAUAUCACACACGGUGUCCAUUGGGGCAAACGAAUUGCAUUUGCAUGAUACACAAACUGUUCACCCCAGGGCAUCCAAAAAGUGCUUUGACCGGCAGGUACAGAUCAACCAAGAGCAUGCAGUGUUCUUCGGUCACCAACGUGCAUGCUAGAGUUUUAAUUCUGCACCCUUAGGUCGUGAGAUAGCCUAUCGGCACCACCACAGACUGCGUCCUAGCCUUUCGGCUGAUCUGCAGAGCAACUUUGGUUAUUGGUGUGUCAAUGAUUAUACAUGAAUGUUGAGCUGCGAGUUGAUUAUCAUAUUGCUUUAAGAGUCACAGUUUUAACUAGUUGUGCAUCUAGUUGUCUUUCACUGCUUCUUCUGUGAAUAAAAAACUGCAUCAUUGCAAAAAGGAUCUGAACCAUUACCGAAAAUAUAUGUUUGUAUUUUAGCUUCUGCCUUCCUGCCAAAAGGUUAGCUGUUACCUCCCUAUAUACCGGUGGUUACAUUCAUGCACCUCCGGUUGCUGUUUAGAAAUAUUACUUUUCCUAUGCUAUUCUUGUUCUGAACAAGCAGAUCAUUGUUGUCAGGAAGGAAGUAGUAGGUCGCUUUGUUUUCAGUCAUCUCAAAUCACUUCUUGUGUUUUGGCUCUAGAAAUCUAAAUUGUUUGCUUUUUUGUCCAAAUUUCAGUUCAUUUGAUAUCAGAUUUGCUAUUGCAGUUACUUAUUUUUAUUUUAUUUUUCAAUUGAAUUGGUGGCCUUCCGAUUUCGUGGGGUGAGGGUUGAUCGAUGUGAUUUUUCAAGAGUGGCUUGUUUUCUCAAUCCCCUCCUCCCCCCCCCUCCCCCACCCACCACCCACAUCUGUGUGUUUUUUAGUAGGGAUUAUAUAUAUGAGCAGGGUGUGUGAUUUUUGAUGAGCAGAUGUUGUUGUUCUCUUCCUUUGCAGCGGGAAGGUAUGGGUUUGUGCCACUAGGAAGGCAUCCGAUUGAUUGGUCUUUUUUUUAGCUUAGUUGUGCGAUCCUGGGACAGAAGGGAUGUUGUUUUUUCUUGAGAUAGUAACUGAGAGGAUUAAUGUGUUAGUUGGAGUGGUUGAUUUUUAUCCUAUUGUACAUAAGUUUUUAUAUAUGUGUGUCUUUAAUCUAUUUUAUUUUUAUUGAGCCCAUUUUAUGUGGUGAGGGAGCACCUCUAUUUAUACAAAAAUCAUGGGAUGUAUUAUGAGAUGUGUCAUCAUCCCUAGUCAUCCUACUAUAAAUACAAGACCAUGAGAUGUAUGACAUAUGUCAUCAUCCUAGUCAUUCUACUAUAAAUAUCUACUUUCUAAAAUAGUCUUCCAAAAUAUCGUAGUCUCGAUAUUUGUUACUUCUUCAUGAAGAUGUUCUAGUGUCUUACAUGGUAAACUCAUUCCUCUUCAUGUUAUCUCAACUUUUCUAGAAUAUUUUAAUCUUCUCAUUACAAACAUUAAUUCAUUCGGAAUGCUCAUUGUAAAUAUCUUACUCCUCCAACUAUCCAUAGUCUUCUUGAAUCUUACGAAAUAUGCAUUGCUAGUUUUGAACAUAGAUCGUGUUGCUCGUCACCUAUGAGGAUUGUGGUGCUCUUUUCUGUAUCCUGUCGGUGUCUCUUAGUAUGGUACAUUAAUUCGGUGCCCCCUCACUGCUCUUGUUUGCUGCGUUGCCCCUUCGAUCUAACCCUUUUAGCGCCAUGGGGAGGUGCUAAACCCACCCAAGAAGCUAAAGGUGACUCCAGCGGGGUGACCCAAAACGGACACAAAAAGUGUCCAUUUUGUUCCGUUUGGGUGGCGACGUGAACACACCAGGUGCUCAUGUCCGGCCUGUGUCCAUUUAGGUCCGCGAGUGAUCCCAACGGUGCGACCCAGUUAAAUUUAAAAGUUGCUAAAUUUCAUUGAUAAUAAACUUCACGGACUACAUUUAAAUUUAAAAGAACAAAAUAAAAACCAAACUAAUAAGUAAUCUACUCGGAUUCGGAAUCCAAGUAGAUGACCUCCUUCUCCGGCGACCAGGCCUCCAUCAGCGGUGGAAAGUCCGGCCACAGCAACCAGGGCUGCUCCUUGCUAGCUCCUCGAAGGCUGACUGCUCCAUGGAGGCCUGGAGCCGGGCUUGCUCCUCCUCGGCAGUUUGUGCCUCCAACACCGCCUCCACCUUGGAGAUCUCCAGGGCGGCCUAGAGCUCCUCGUCCUCCUCCAGAGCACCCUGCCGCCGUGGAGGCUAAGAAGGAGCGCCACCGGACGUCAUGCUCCAUCUGGUACCUUUGAUCCCAGUACGGAGACUCCUCGGCAUAGGCCGGGGCGUUCCGCGGGCGGCUCCUGCGCCGCCAUAUCCAAGUGCGGUCCUGCACCCUCUCCGUGGUAAUGUGGAAAGGCGGGGAUGCGGCCUGCGAAGCCGACCAUUGGCUGCACAGUGCCGACGAGGAGUAGGCCUCAUGGUCAUUCUUCCUAGAUUCAGGAGCCCAUGGCGAUUCGGGGGGGCGGUGGUAGCGAGGGUUUUUUCGGGACAGGAGCAAGUGGGAAUGGAGAAGUAGGGACGACGUGGUCCCCAUUUUAUAUGACCGAGUGGAAGAUUAUUGGGCCGCUGACUGGUGGGGCCAGGGAACGGAAACCUUUGACUCAGCCGGUCGAGGGCGGACGCGGAGCCUGUCUCUUUCUUGUCCGUGUGGAUGCAAACCCGGCCUAGAUUUGGGUCUGGAAUGAGUUCAGGCCGACAAAAAAACCAGACGGGGGCAAAAAUUAGUUGCCUCGUUGGCGUGUUUUUUGUGUGCGCGGACACAAACGCGUACAGGAGAAAUUCAUCACCACGCUAGAGUCGCCUUUAAGUAUCAUUUCUCCUCCUCUCCCCCCGGAUUAGGAUUCAAUCUUACUGCUUGGGAUUGAUUUGGCUCUUCAGAGCGAUUAUGUCAUGAUGAGAUGAUAGUGACUUGUUGUGCUGAAUCAAUUACGGCGUAUCUUGGUUGUGCUGAAUCAAUUACGGUGUAUUUUGAUUGUGCAUUGUUUGAGCAUUGUGUUUGCUCUUACAAACUGGUCGGACGGGUUGGUCCCACAUUUUCCCUUCAAUCCUCCUCAUUCCCGCAGGAGCGCUUCCGCAUUUCGCUAGCGAGUUUCACGGUCCAUAACUUCGCCCCAGAGACUUCCUCAUUCAGUUCAACACAGAUGUCGGGUCCCUGCGGUUUCGCCAAUGGUCGCGGCAGUCUAAGGGAAGAUUGCGGGUUGUUCACUGCAAGGUCGAUCGUGCUGGAGGUGCGAGACGUGUCGGCCCAACCGCCACCUUGCGACUGCCGCUUGCCCCGUUUUACACCAUCAGGCACAUUUAGGGCAUCUCCAAGGGUGAGUCUCCAUUUGUCCAUUUGGCGGCUGGUUUGGGUGUUUGGACAAAUAGGGGUGAAGAAAAUAUCAUGUUGCCUAAUGAAAACUCCCAUUUAUUGUUCUAACAGCCUUUGACAUGUAGGCCAAAAGUACAAAUAGACAAGUUUUGCACAAUUAAGGACUCCCUAUUGUCUCUCCAAAUUUGGGAAGAAACGGCCACCUUUUGGACAAAUAUGGGUCUUCAUUUGUUCAUAAACCCCUAAAUGGAUAAAUGGAGAGAGUUUAGGAGGUGUAAUUGGAGAUGCCCUUGCUCACGAGAUGGGUGACCGGACUUGGAUAUCACGCAUCCAUCCCCAGUUUGGUCACCGUUGGCAUUCCAGAGCUGGAUCCGUACGAAUUAGAGUCCCCCUAGGAGGUCGAGCUCCCCCCAUGGACUACGAGUCUACGACCUCUCAAGCACGAGCUCACGGUGAUUUGGUGGUGAUUUGAGAUGGUUUGUGUUUUGGUGAUGAUGCAGGGUUGCUGUUGCUUACCAGAACAACGUGAGGGCUAAAAUAAAUAUGAUAUCCGACUGUGCUUGAAAUUUGACAUGCCAUGCCAUCUGUUCUACAUCAUCCGGUGAAUGUUCCAAAUAAUCUCGACCGUAUCACUACUGUGCUAGUAGUUUAGAUUUAACAUGAUUAGAUGUUGUCAUUGAUGUUCCAAAUCAACUAAAUUGUAUUAAUAUAAGUACAUGUUUGGAUCCCUUUAUUACGAGCAAACAACUGGUUCAGGCCAACAAACACUUGGACAAGAAUAUGGUGAGGACUUCCUGAUGCAAUACACACACCCUCCCCUCCUUCCUCCAACGAAAACACAAGGACGGUUUAGAUCACUCCGUACCCUUUCAUAAAAAAGGCAUGAUGGACAUUAAUUAAUAUUUCUUCUUUUCUUUCCACCUGGCUCCGAACAACACUAGGUGUUUUUGAUUUUGCUGGAGAUUGCACCGUUGGAUCACGACGAAAUUUCGCGAGCUUGUAGUAGACACAAUUCCGCACAAUCCCACGGAAGGGAUCAGUGAAAUACUUCUUGAGCCAGCGGAAAACAUGCGAACAAGUCGGACGUUUGUGCUGUCCCGCACGGCUGUGAGAAAUCCAAACAACGCUCGGUGUUUUACAAUUUUCCGAAGAUUCCACCAUUGGAUCACGACGAAAUUUCACAUUGUAGUGGUAGACAAAAUUCCGCACAUUCUCACUGAAGGAUCGUCGAAAUAUUUCUUGAGGCAGCGGGGAACAUGCGAACAAUGUGGACGUUUGUGCUGUCUCACAGGUACGCGAGAAAUUCAAACAACACUCGGUAUUUUCAAGUUUUCUGACGAUUCAACCGUUGGAUCGCGACGAAAUUUUACACUGUGUUAGUACACAAAAUUCCGCACAAUCUCUCCAAAGGGAUCGUCGAAAUAAUGAUUCGAUCAACGGGAAACAUGCGAACAAGUCAGACAAUCGUGCUGUUACGGAGUUGGCCGGAGAUUUCACCGUCGGAUCGAGACGAAAUUUCGCACCGUCAUAGUAGACACAAUUUCGCACAAUCUCACCGAUGGGAUUGUCGAAAUAAUACUUUAGGCUGUAGAUACUUUGCGAGAGAGGAAGGAGGCCGGAGAAAGAAAAAGAUUAGGCAAAAAGAGAACAAAAGCAUGUAAAAGAAAAAACGUGAAAAAUCAUCCUAUCCUUCCGAGUUUAGGAGGGGGUUGUAUUGAAUUAGGCCUCUAUUGUGAGAUAUCCCAAGUCAUACUGCCUUUCUUAUUCUGCAUCAUUUAUGUUUUUACUUUUUUUAGCGAGGGAAAACAUUAUCUAAUUUAAAGUGUCUGCUUCUGCUUCCAGCUAUUUCAUUUGGUACUCGGUAGUAUAUUAAUGGGCCAUAGUUCAUCAGUUUCCAUUAGCCAUGUAUUGUUGUCUCAGUUUUGCAUACAAUUCACAGAAACUAUUGUGAUCUAGCUAUUAUUUCAAUAUCAUGGGGCUACUUUUUAUAUGAUGUUGAACAUAAUAUUGUUUUACUUUAUUAGACGGGCCUAUUAGUUAGCUACCGUGUCCUAUCUUGCUGAAAUUAAGGACAAGUACGGCAGUAAUAAUUUGCAAUACUGCCAUCUUAACCGGCGACGGCGCCUCCUGCGCCGGCCCGGCCGACUGCAAACCCUCCACCGGUGCCACCUGCACCAGCGGAGGAACCUCUACUGCCGCUGCACCAGGCUGGGCCCGCCUUUAGCAGGCACCUCCUGGAUCGACGAUGCACCCAGAGCGGCCGCGGCUCCGCACUCCAAAGAGGACUUUCCACGGCAGCCUCGGCUCUCCACCGCCGAAAACGAUGCCCGCCUCGGACUAUAGAUGGUCAUCCGGCUGGGCCCAACGAAAAAGCCCAGCAGCCUGGUGGGCCAGACGCAAGUUUAAUCGGGUCAGGCUGGCCCUUGGCCUGCCCUGUGCCACUCCCGGGCUUCAUCCUCAGGCCCCAGGCUAUAACCUGGCCCGGCACGCCCUGAAUAACAUUUUUUUUAAAUCUAACUACACCUCAUCUUGGUGGUGGGAAUAAAAAUAUGGGGGCAAGGAGAGUUGAGACGGCAAACACAUUUUGACUAUUUCGUCAAUGGCAAGGACAAAAAAAAAGCCGCAGGCCUGCCUGGGCUGGUCGGUGCCCAAGGGCUUUUUUCGAGGCCCGUCAAGCUUCCGGAGCCAGGUCGACCCGAUUGUGCUUGGUGCCAUGUCUGGGCCUCGAGACGGCCAUUUUGGCCAUCUAUACCUCGGACCGGAGAAGGUGCCCCAAGCACACCACUAGAUCGAAGCGGCCAAGCCCCGCCGCCGCCGUUCGCACGGACCUAACCCGGCGGCUAACUGGUGGCGGCGAGGGGAGGAGACGGAGGGAAGGAGGUUAACCGGCAGCACAAAUCCAAUUUUCGCCGGUCCAUUGAAUGUUUGUUUCUAAGAGAGCAGCACCACUCUCAAAAAUGGGGGAGAAUUUCAUUUCCCUGGCACCUCGUAGGGAUGCACACAACCAUUAAAUAUGGAUCUAGUUAGAAAAAGUUUUAUGUAACAUGGUGCUUCCAUGAGAACGGGUCUGAGGUCCGCAUUGUAUUUGCUAUGAAAAUCUAGUAUCAACUUUGAUGGAUGAAAUCUUUUUGUUUGGUAAAUAAUGUCUCAUCCGAUGUUGACUAGUUUUUCCAGGAUAUGAUUUGUAUAUGUUUAUAUGAUCGAAAAUACAUAUAAAGACAUGCUUUUUUUUUACCUUUGCAACAUGUACUUUAUGUCAGAUGACUUGCUGUAUUUCUUUUUUAAAUUCUAUUUUUCAGUUAUUAUGUCUAAUUGAGAGGACUAUAAGUUAUUAUGUCUUUUUUAAAUUCUAUUUUUAAGUAGCGUAGAUUUGUUAAGAGCCCAUUUUCUGACCGUAGUGAAAUAGCCCAUUUAUAUUAUGCCCAGCUAUGUGAUUUAUGACGUGAUUUGUUAGCUUUUGAUUUGCCCCUUCUGCCACUCCUAAUAUGAUGCUUCUAAUUUGAAUAUAGAAUGAUGCCUUGUAUUUUGCGUGUACCAAUUUAAUCAACAAAACAUCAUUAUUGUUUUUAAUCAACAACCCGUCCUUAUUGUUUUGCGUGUGUAUUUUGCGCUACGUUUUCGGUAUAGAGCUUUGUCUACUCCACCAUGCUACAAUGUUGAUUUGGUAAAAGGGAUGAUAUUCUUUUAGUUUCCUUAGAAGAAAAGAAAAUCGUGAGUUCAUAGUAGUUUGUACUGUCAGUUCAUUUGGACUUUCAGAAUCUCCUCUGUAUUUUAUCUCUGAUUAUCUGCCUUCUUUGAAUUUUUGGUUACAUAGGAACUGCCAAAAUCUCUUGCAAAACAGCUCACUGACACAAGAUCUGGGAAUUUAAGUGUGUCCAUCUCGACCUUCCAAUUAUCUGGUUUUCCUACAACAUUCCAAAUUGACAUUAAGAAUCUUAGGUUUAAGGUUGGUUGCUCACAACAUUGAUUUUAGGUUCAAAAUGUUUGAGGUGGGUUGUUCAUGCGGCUUUUCAAAAUCUAUGAGGUUAGUCCAAUUUGUACAAGCAUGGUGUUCUGCAUGUUUGUUUCUGAAUGCGUGCAGGAAUGUCUAGAUGCGAAGAAUAGAUAUAAAAUAUUGAUUUUGAAGGACCCAUGAUUUUUAUCGAGGAUCUUCAUUUCUUAUGUUCGUUUUGAUUGUACCGAUUUAUUGUACUUCCGUUUAUGUAUCAAAGGUAGAUCAUUGUUUUACAAAAUAUAUAAACUCAGUUUGACAAGCAACUGAGGGUGACUGGGCUGAAAGCCACAAAAAUCAGCAAAUACUAAGCAGAACACUCGGUGGAAGAUACUGAAAUCUUGAAAUGGAGGUAAAUUUUACACAGUUUUGUGCGUUUUCCUAACUUUAUUGAAUGACCCUAACAUGGGAAGGGGAAAAUGAACACCAGAUGCCACCAAGUAAGACCCUGUACCUGUCUUGAUUUAUUUGCUCAUGUCUGCCACAGAAAAUUUAUUGAAUGAUUCGUAUAAUUGAGUUUAGAAGCUGAUAAAGCUUUUGUCCUUCAAACAUUCUAUGGUCUCCUUGAGGGACGUCUCAAACGGUGUCAACUCGAUUCCCAAGCUUUUUACUUUGUCCCGUGAGACCUGGUAAGUUGGAGCGAAUGGCUGGUCAUCGGCGCACCUGGACAAAAAAAAUCAUUUAAUUGGGAUCUAACAAUAAAAAUUGUUUAAAAAUAAGAUCAAAUAGUGAUAUGAAGCUACACAUAUUCUCAUGAAUCUUAAGAUCUCUGCAAUUUAGUUUCAACCAUUGUGUCGUAACAUAAAUUUAGUAAUGUUGAUACAUAAUUUUAUCUGAAGAAACUUCUGCAAUAUGAAUGAAUCACAAUCAUUGGAAAUUUAAAAUUUCAGGCGGUAUAUAUCACGCAUCAAAAUUACUUAAAUGGUUCCUGGAAGCGUGCUGUGGCUUGGAUAUAUUGUCAUUCACUGCAAACACAGCACUGGAGGUGUUUGGUAAUUACUUACUUGUCAGGCACCGGAAGAGAAGGGUACAUUUCAUGGAUGAUUUUGACAAUCUCCGAGAAGUGAAUAACUCUGUCAACCAUGCAAUAUCUUCCACUCGCUGAAGGAACCUCACAUGCAAGGACAUGUGCCAGAGCAACAUCCUUCACAUUCACCCAACCAAAACUAUAAUUAAGAUAAACAGGUGACCCUGUAAAUAGUGAGUAGGAUGAAACGUUACUUAUAUCGAUAAGUUGAGUCAUGCAGCCAAACGUAAUUUUCUUCAAGAAAAAACAACUAUCAACCAGUGUGUUUUAUUUGUGAAGUUAAUAGAAAAGAUCCACAUUUUUUCCUCUGCCAAUGCACAAAUAACCCAUCUAUUGGCAUGGUUAAUGGAAAGAUGGAAAUUACUGUUUGCUACUUCUAUUUUCUUUAAAUUACUCAUUAGCAGAAAGAUGCAUCGGUAUUCCUGAGUGAUAACUAGGUUUAUGCUUACUCUUUCGGUUUUUAUCUCCUGGAAGUAACACCACUGAUUAGAAAAUUUAUUCGUCGGAGGAACAUACCACUGAUUAGAUACAAGACUAGUUGAGCACUAGUGUUGAGUGUCGGCUGCAAUAAGGGCCCAAUGACCAUGGCUGGGUUUAUGGUCACCAAGUCGAUACCAUUGUCCUUUGAGAACUUCCAUGCUGCUUGUUCAGCCAGUGUCUUUGACAAAACAUACCAUUCCUGAUUCGAACAGUAAGUGGUAAGCAAUUAGAUGUCCACAUGCAGCUAGGCCCACAAUUAGAAUGGAAAAAUAUUACUUGGACACUUCAACAGUUAAGGAUAACAUUUCCCUUUUACUCGCCAAAAAAAACAGUGAAGGAUAACAUGGACAUUCAGAGGCAUAAGUCAGUUAGCUCAAACAAGUCUACCAUGGUAAUUUUGUAAAAAAAAUAUUAAAAAGAGAGACCAGAAUUGGCAGUUCUAUACAAUAAAGAUAAUGCACUAGACACGGAAAUGGCUUUGAGAGCUGAUGCUCCAUGGAGCCCAAAAUUUUGAAAAAAAUACACCCAUAUAUAACUAAGAAAAUUAGUACAAUAAAUCCAAAAUGUAAUUCAACGAAUUCCAUAUGCAUUUUUUCCUCGAACGUCCAUAUAAUUUAUUUUCUUCUCGAACGUCCUUAUAUGUUUUUUUUUUCUCGAACGUCCAUAUCUGUAUUUGAAAAUGCUCUUGAGGCAAAGCAGCUACGUGAUUACCAUAUGUAAAGGGUGGCUAAUCAAUUAUGAGAGGUUGAAAACAUAGUACCAACAUUCGUGUUGCAAUAAGUAUGCAAUACCUUUGCCUUUUCACAAAGUUCUGGAAUAGAAAAUGAUGUAUCGUCGACCACAACUUCAGGAGAUAAUGGAUUUUCAGUGAAUACAACAGCUGCCAUUGAAGAUGUUAAAACCACCCUUUUCAAAGAAGAAGCUUUCUUGCAGGAUGCCAGAACAUUGAGUGUUCCUUUUACUGCUGGGUCAAUCAACUCAAUCUAAAAAUAUAAGUCACUGAUGAGAGUUGGUAUUUCAAGUUUUCAACUGGCUUGAAACUUCUAUGAGUGGGGUAGACAAAACCAAAUCCUAAAGGUCUUUGUAGUUCUGUUUUAUAUCCCUUGUAUGCAUGAACUAAUUAAGGAUAAAGGAAUACCAAUGCAAAUGAAACUACCAAUAAAAUGAAGAGAAAAUAGUAUACUUGGUUUCACAUUAAUUUUGGAACUGAAUAUGCCAAAAGAACUAUAUUUAAUAGAACAUAUAACAUAGAUUCUAGAGAACCAAACAUAUCAUGUAUGAUAACAAGAGAUGAUUCUCUAUGCUGGCUUUGUAAAGGUGGUAAUUAGGAUUGAGUGACAAAUCCCAUUUUACGUAUCAAUAUUGAACAAUGAAGUGAACUUCCAGUCUAAAUGGUAUGCAUACUAUUAUCUAUCCAUGUUGUGUCUGAGUUAAACGACCCUAGUUUUAUUUUCUACUGGGAUAAAAAAUUGUAGUCCUGCAAUCAGAAAUUUCUCUCUGUAAAUAGUUUCCAUGAACGUUAUUGAUGUGUUCCUGUUCCUGUUUUUAUUUGCAACAGCAACAGAAUGUGAACCUUGUAAUAACAAUGUAAUAUGUUUAUAGGUUUUAGUAGACUACCCGGCACUAUUCAUUGAGUUUUAAUGCAUGCUUAGUACUUCUGAUGAAUGUUUAGCAUACAUAGCUUUAUUACGAAACGAUGGCAACUUUUAUCCAAGUAAAAAUUAGUUCAAAUUAUGCUAGCAGAAUGGUGUUGGAAGCUCGAGUUACUGAAUAGGAACUAGCAAAAGCAGUACAAACCUGAGGAUCUUUCGGAUUAUUGUAGAAAGGAGAUGCUGUAUGAAAUACGCAUUCACAACCGUCAACUACAGCAUCAAAGGAUCCUUCUUCUAAUAAAUCGGCUUUAAAUAGAUGCAGCCUAUCGGCAGAUCCAUCUAGAGCACGUAAAUGUUCUAUCUUCUUCGGAUCAGCUGGCACCAAUAUAUAAAAGAAGUUUAAGUUUCUUAUUCUGUGACAAAUGCAAGGGUAUAGAAGACAACAAUGAAGGUUCUACAAAUUCUAUGAGUUAAUUGCAUAAAACCCCACCUUCAUGUGCACUUGUAGCAUCUUAUAACAAUUUCUGAACACUUUCUCUAGAUACCACAACUUUUGUGUUAGUUAUGAACGAAACGUCUGAACCACCCAUCUAAUGAGUAAUAUGACACUAUGGACCCACAAGUCAGGUCUGACGUGGAUUAUGUUGCCACGUUGGCGCUGCCUACAUAGACAUGGGACCCAUACGUCACUCUCAUCCUCAUCCCCUCCACACCUCUCACUCAUCAUGUGCAUCUUCCACGGCGACUUCUGGAGCCUCUCCAGGCCGUGGGAUCGAGGCGACGUUGAAUCUUGAGCAGAGGAGAAGUUGAGAGAUCGGAGGAGGAAAAAGAGUGGCACGUUGGCACAGUGCAGGUCAAAGAAUGCCACGCUGACACUGAUUUGUGGGGUUUCUUUGUCAGAAACGGAAUCAACUGGGGGAUCUGGAUCCAGUGUAUUAAGGAUUAGCUCAAAAAUUAUGGUCUUAUGAAAAAAUGUUCACGAUGGUUGCCUUUACACAUGGUACACGAUAGUUGGGAUUACAGAAAUACUUGUAUUUUUUUAGUAAAGAAAAUUCUGAAAAUACAUAAAUUAUGGAUGGAAGCGAAUACUAGUUUUUAAACAAUUAUUAAAAGGAAAUAAUUUAAUCUAAAGUAAAAUAAAUUUUAUUACAAUAAUGACAAAACAUGAUUAUUUUUGGGUCCAGACCUAACAAAAAUCGCCGCGCAAUUUCAUGCUCGGUUCGAGGGUAGCCCACAACCUACUGAUCAAGUUUCGUCCCAUGUGGACAUGUUCAUUGGCUUGUACUAGUAUUUAAAAAAAGAAAUACUCGUUCCGAUCCAUAAUAAGUGUCACUGAUUUGGUUGAAAGUUAUAUUAAAUCAGUGACGCUUGUUAUGGAUCGGGAGGUAUAUUUUUCGUUGUUCAACUGAAUGAAUAUAUAUUUGUAGGAAUUUCCCGGCCGGCUUUUAUUUUGGGUUCGAGCUGACCAAAAAUCGCUGGACAGCAGCUCCUGUAUUGUGAAACAUCCGGCACAUGGCCGCCGGCAGAGCCUGUCGGCCAAUUAAUACUCACCCUCGUCUCAUUCAAAGAUCCAACCCGGCCCGCUGACCUUCCUCGCUGCUGAUGCUCCAAUACUGCCGGCAAUUGCUAGCUAAACAGCUCUUCCUCGCUGCUGAUGCUCGAAUACCUCUCUGAUUAAGAAAUCGAUCCAAAACACUACUACUCCCAGAGUCCCAGCCCCUUAAAUUUCGAUCAACUGAAGCUUCAAAUGACAAGGAAAAAUUAAGGUUACGUACCGGGGUCGCGGAGAGUGCCGCGCACGGUGUGGCCGCGCUGGAGGAGAAGCUUCACGAUCCACGACGCGAUGAAGCCGCCGGCGCCCGUCACGCACACCACCUUCUUCUUCUCCUCCGUCUUCUCCAUCUCCAUGCGUGUUUCUUUCAGUUUUCAGAAGAAGGGCUGGGCUGAAGCUCACUUGUGCUUUGCUGGGAACAAUUUCUUCUCGCUUUUAUCGUCGCUGAGGAAUGGGAGCACCGAGGGGUGCGGCCCGUUGUCCCUUCUGUUCCCGCGUCCGCUGCGUGAUACUCACCCUUUUUUCUUCUCUUUUAAAAUUGCGUUUGAAUAAUUGUUACUAGUCAAAGAAAGAGAUGCUGUACCUGUACGUAUCCCCGCAAACAAAAAAAUAAAGAUGCCGUAUGAUUAAACAAGGUUUUAUCUAUAUCAUCAAUAUAUUAAAUUGAAAUUGGUGGUGAUGGUACGGAUGUCAUGGUAAGUUUUUUUAUCAAAAUUACGAGGGAUAUGUCACUCCAGCACGAGAAAAAAAACGUUUCGCUUAACUAUUGUCAAUUCAUGCAAAAAGAAGGCCUCCCGCAUCCGAGCCGUCCGCGGCACCCCCGCGGCUGCGUCUCUCACAGUCGCGCUGACGAGCUCCUCGUGACACAGCGCCAGCGACGUCCCUGGCUCUCUGCAAUGCGACAUGCCCAUCCCUCCCCACGCGGUGGCGUGGACGAGCUCCCCGCGGCACAGCGCCGGCGACUUUCCUCAGUUUCCUGCAACGCAAUAUGCCCAUCGAUCCCUCCCCAGGUGGCGGCACGGACGAGCCUCCCGGUCCCCGCGGCACAACACCGACGACUUCUCUACAUCGCAACAUCCCCAUCCCACCCCUUCCCACUGCGGCGGCGCUCCUUCCAGUGCCCCUCCCGUUACGCCCCAGUCCGCCUCCUCCGGUCUCGCGACCCGAGCACGACGAGCAGGCCGUUGCUAGUUAGCCCGCCAAAAAAUACCAAUGCGUCUCAAAACCAAACGUUACUAGAAGAGGAGUCAGUGGUGGCGACGGCGUACAUGGGAAGAGCAGCAGUCUACGGCAGUGACCACUGCAGAAGGCGGUGGCGCCAUGGGCCACAACAGGAGGCGGCGGCGGCUGGGUCUUCGGGAAAGGAGGUGGCGGUGGCGGAGUCCACUGGAGGAGGAGUAGGAGGCCACUUGAGGAGGAACCACCGGCCAGCGGGAGCCAUGGAGUUUCAGGUAAGCCACGGAUAUGGGAAAAUUGGGUAAUAGGGAGAAUACGGAAGGAAAAACGCCAGAACGGUGUUAUGAACUGAACCAAUUGAAAAGUUAAAAUCUAUAUCAAUAUAUUAAAUUGGAGUUUGUGGUGAUGGUACGGAGGUCGCGGUACACGCAAUUGGAGUUUGUGGUGAAAGUACGGAUGUCGAGGUACGUCACGUCACCGAAAUUACGUCCAAUAUGCCACCUAAUACCCCAGGUCCUGAAGCCCUCCAUCUUCGUCCAUCCUCAGUGCAAGCCCCCUUCUCUCGAUCUCCCGCACGACACGAGUGCAAGCUCCCAUCCUCCUCAGUCCCCACACGAAACGGAUCUCCUGCACGAGAAAAAUUAUUCCGUAGCAACGCACGGACACUCUGCUAGUCUUAAUUAAAUAUUAAAAGCACAAGAGAAAGUUGCAAAGAGAAGUUGCAUUUUUUUUUGGGAUGAAGUCUCCUGGUUGCAUUCAAGUUAAAAGCUUAAUGUACAUGCACUAUGGUUUUAUUAGCAAAGAUCGUCGUACAAUCAAAAAGUUUGCAAACCCAUCUAUUUUGAAUAGGUUCAGUCGCCUUGUGGACCGCUCUUAUGUUAGGAGAAGUGUUGAGGGAUCCCUGUCCUCAGGCUCGGACUAAAUAGAUCUUUCUAAAUCAUGAGGUUAGAGUUCGCUCAGAACUCUAGACCAAUCCACAACACCCGAGUCCAAAACGAAAGGGUCUUCCGAACUCAAGACUAAAGCGUCCCUAAAACUCUAGGUCUCUCCAGUUGGUUUGUAUUCCAAUCGAGAGUGAAUGUUUAAAUGCCACAUGGCGGAAUUUAUAUAAACUAUGGGUCAAUGGCAAAAUAUCAUGCCUUAUCUCAUUUAACCAUGGCUUGAUUUAUUGAGUCCUUUCACCAUGCCUUAUGCCUUAUUGGCUUGAUCUUUCCUAUUUGGCAUCUUCACGGAAGGAGCUUUUUGUUGACUUGAUUUAUUGCAAUAUUGGAUUCCGGGGCCGUUCAAUGUAAGUGAUUUAUUUUAUGCUAGCACAUACUAAUGCUGUAUAAUUGUUAAUCAAAGGCUUCUCUUAAGCCUUCCAAAUAUGACUAUAAAAAGAUAGGCGUAUGAAGGAAGUAAUACAUUUAUAUUUAUUUCGUGUUAAAAUAUCUAGUCAAUAAUUUAAUCCAGGUAAAGUUAUCUGGGAGCAUAUUUACAAAUAACUAAUGAUUUGCAAAAGAUAGAUAACAACAAUUUACAUAUUAUGUUCACAAGUCACACACAAAAAAAGACACAACCUAAAGUCUUUCUAGUUUUUAACGGUCAACGAAGAUCACUUCUCCAAGCAAAGUGGCACUAAACGCCUAUUUGGUUCUGAACAAUGCAGAAUUCAUGUACCAGAUUAGGAUCAUUUUGAUGUCAUUUCAAUAUAAUUUGAUUCAGGACGGAAACUAGCAAAGAGACAAGUCAUAGAACAAGGACGGAUGCUAUGCUUUUCAAAGAAUAAGAAAAAGGAAGACGGGCAGAUAGGACAAAGCACAAAGCAGGUCGCCUGGACAAGUACGCUUCUGAUUGAUUCGAAAACGUCACGACGCUGCAUCAAUAAGAAAAAUCUCAAAUUUAGAAACAGAGGUGAUAUUAAAUUAUACAAGCACGCCACCGAAUAAGUGACAAAUUGACGGACAAGAUACUUGAGUCUCUAUCGUUUAGUUUGACAUUGCUGAACUGUGUUGCGCUGAAUUUAUUUUAUAAUCCGUUAAAAAAAAUAUAAAAAAAAGUCGGUGAGCCAAACACAAAAUAUAAUAAAAAUCAGGUGAAAAAAAUGAAUUAUGAUAAUCCACCGCAAUGCCAAACGGAGUAAAGACGAACUUAAAACUUAUUGAUUCCUCCUUUUCAAACGCCUUCUUCUGUUUUACUUUCCGGUACCAUAAGUUAGGAUUGGCCUAUGCUCAACACUGUUCCAAGCCAAUUGGUGGACAAGCAUGAUUGUCCACAGAAAUUGUCAACAAGGCUUUGGCGUCAAUAAUCGGCCGUUAUCCAUGUGGUCAGAUUGGUAGCCACGUCCCCAGAUUAGAUGUUAGCCGGCCCGGCCACUAGACAAUUUACAUGUGAGCGGCGAUCGCCAGAGUCCAAGAUGAGCACCCAGAAAACUAUGUACUAGACAUAUUAGCCAUCCAAUCACCCAUCAAUCCUUGUCCUAGACCUUAUCCGCAUGAUCGAUGAGACUGUAUUUGGCCAAUUUUCAAAAAAAAAAUGACUCUUCAAAGUUUUGGAGAUUAGCCAUCGGUUUACACAUGCGGAGGCUUAAAGCAGUGCUCAAACAGUUCUCUUCAAAGAAAAAAGGUAAAACAGAACAAGAUUACAAGGCAACCACGUUUUGCACAUUCUCCCACGAACUAAAACAAAAAGAUAACUAUGCCCCUUCGGACAACCAACCAUAAGCUUUCUUUUUUUUUGAUCGGGGACGACCAACCAUAAGCUCAUGCCCCUUUGCGACGCAAAACAUUUUGCAGCAAACCAACGCUUCGGAAUAUUUCAAUGCAGUAUAUGUUUUGUUUUACAUAUCACAUGAUGUUAGGAAUCUCCCUGCGACCUGUCCAAUCUGAUUUAUUAAGAUAUCUUCUGAAUCAAGGGUUGGUAACCUGGUACGCGCGUCUGACUGGAACCCGAACAGAACAUGAACAGCAUCUUAUACAAGGUCAACUUGUACUCUCUCUAAUUCAUAAUAAAUGUCUUGAAUUCAGUAUAAAGUUAAUACAUUUCUGAAAGGAAAACCUUGCAUUUUUAUGGGUUUUGAUGAAUGAUGACAAUAUGGUUGAGAAACUAAUGAGUUACACGGAGUGUUUCAGGUUUUAAUUCCUCAUGAGAAUUGGUUUCGCCAGGAUCGAUGAUCCUUAAAAAUUGAAGUACAGGUACUGGCUUGAAGUACGAAAAACUCACUGAAGAACGGAGAAGAACAUCGAAACGUAGUUUUUUCGUAGGUCUUUCCGUAAUUUUUUCUUCACUUGAGUAUAGGCAUGCCGUAUUAUUAAGGGGGAUUUAAAGUGUGAAACUGGUUUAGAUAAAAUCUUAUUCUUCAUGUUUAGCUAAGGCGAAAACCAUUUUUGUGUGAUUGUUUUUCGUCGGAGUGAAGAAUGAAGCAUUUCAGACUUCACAGAAACUUCCGUCGUGAAGUCCUCACUCUGAUUUCAAAUGUGUUUGAAAAUAUUUGUCGCGUUGUGCUUUGAUCACGUAAUCUUUCCGUUGUGAGACAGUCGAGUAAAGUGUGAGCUGGAGACUCAGGCUCACUUUAUCCAACGGGUCGCAACGGCUAGAUCUACGAAGCCCAGGCUAUAUAAGUUGACCCACCCCGAACGGAUUCGGUGGUGAUCUCGAAGGAAACUGUUUUGAAGAACACCUGAAGAAAACUUUUAAAGCCGAACUGAGCAUGAACAAUGGGAUCCCCUCUCUAGCCGAGCACUUAAAGCUUGUUACUCUUGGUGAUUGGCAUCACCUAGACGGCUAGGAGUCAGUGUUGAAAAGCAAUCGAAACUUGUGAUUCGCGAUCAACGAGUCUGUGAAGGUCCGAAGAUCACUGCAAGAUCUACCACGAGUAACGGGACGAGACUUUGGUCUUAACCCAGGAGGAUUAAGUGGACUUGUGUGUCUGCGAGUCUUGUGUGGCUCAACCCUUUCAACGGAGACGUAAGUGCCAACAAUCCAAACUUCAGGAAACAAACAACUGUGUCUUCGUGUUCUGGUGAUAUCGUUCCUCACUCUUGUUUCCUUGCAUCCGUUGUUGUUGUAUAUCUUUAGUUUUGCAUUUUUCUUUCCGCUGCAACUCUAAAAUUUGCUUAAGUCCUUAAACUCUGUAAUUGAAGAUCCGUGACUGUCCUCGGUCUUCAGUCUUCAAAAUUUCAAGAAUCUAAAAACCGGUCACAUUCAACCCCCCCCCCCCUUGACGUACUUGAUCUUUUAAUUUCUUUUUCGAAAAGGAGUGAAACUCCUCUGGCCUCUGCAUCGAUUGAUGCACACACCCAUAAUAUUAUUAAAAUUUCAGUGAUAGUGCAAUCUCAAAAGAUAAAACAAAAAAACAUCUCUUAGAGGUUACAUCCUACAAAUAAAAUCAAGAGUAAAAUGCACCCGAGGUUCCUAUUCUUUCGCUAAGGUGUCAAGUAGGUCACUAAUCUUUGAAAAUGCACGUUUAGUUUCCCAUUGUUUGUUAAGUGGUUCAUCCUAGGUCCCUCGCCUGUAUGCACAGCUUUGGCCGCAUGACGUGGCUGCCACCUAGGCUUUGGGCCCUCACGUCAGGCGAUGACGUGGCGCUGCCAUCUAGGAUUAGUGACAUCUGCAUGUAUUAAAAAAUGGAAUCUUUUUACCACUCUUGCAGAACUCAUCCUUCUCUUGGCAGCCACAUAUUUCUUUUUAGGAACAUCUGCCACGCGGGGGUUUUUUUGUAAGAUUGCAACGCUACGUCAUCGCCUGACGUGUGGGCCCAAAGCCUAGGUGGCAGCCACGUCAUGCAGCCAGAGCUGUGCAUACAGGCGAGGGACCUGGAAUGAACCACUUACCAAACAAUGAGGACCUAAACGUGCAUUUUCAAAGAUUAGAGACCUACUUGACACCUUCACGAAAGAAUAGGGACCUCGGGUGCAUGUUACUCUAAAAUCAACUAGAAAAACAUAUCAACCUUCCAGCCUAAGAUUGGUGCGCCACCCAAACGGGCUGAAAAAUUCCAAACAACCGUUUCCAACCGGCUGCACCCAAAGUUAAUAGAUUUCUUGGUUACCCUCCGAAGCGAUAGUGACCAAGUACGGAGCCAAUGCACCGCUCCGAGGACAACCUGCAAAAGAUUUGAAACUCUUUUCUUGUUAAAAACCAAAUCAUUUCUGCAGGUCUAAAUCGACCAACAAAUCGCACAAGCCCCAACAAGGAUAAGCGAUUAAGACGUUUGCCCAUACCCCGUAGCCAGUGUCCAAACAUGUUAGCUAUACACGAUGUCAGUGGCAAAUUAAAGGCCACCAAAGCAGCUCUCCACACCAAGCGUGCCAUGGGACAAUAAAAAAACAGAUGGUGAAUCGAUUCAUCUUUAUCACAAAAAACACAUUUCUUACAACCAAACCAAGUUAGAAUUACCCCACGACAGACGUAUCAAGCAAAAAAUUUAAUCUUUAGGGGAAGAAAACAGAACGAAAAAAGAAACAAAGUUAGUACAAUUUUUAACUAAAUCCAAGACACUUCUUGUGGAUCGAAGGAAAUAUUAUUAAAUGGCAUUGGAGAAAUCAUCAUGGUUGUUCCACUAAAUAGUGUGCUUGAUUUUAUCUUCUCUUGUUUAAUUUAAACGUAACAAAUUCGCUCACUAGCAAAGGUAAAACGAAAAGGAAUCUGCUGACAGACCGAAAUGCCCAGAAGCUAGUUUUAAUCUAAAAUCCAAAUGUCUCAAACGCUUCUGGAAAACCAAGAUAAUCAAGCCCACCUUACAGAGAUUUUCAAAUCUCCAAGCAAAUCUUAGUUAGCUGAUAGCUGAAAAUUGUUUGCUGGUCAAAAGAAUGGAACACUCAGAUAGUCACAUUGCUUCCAGCAAUUGUUGGUUAGAGCUGGUAAUGUAGGGCGGCAUACCUAGAUAUUUAGUGUGUAAUUUUUGGAAGUCCUGCAUUAAUUGUUUCCUAAGAACCAAAAGCAAUAUGCUGCUACCUUACAUGAUAUGCAUGGUUCCUCAACCACGGAAAGGUGUUUUCCGCAAGGUAUCCAACUUCAAAGCCAUAUCCUGUGCCAAACUAAUUCGGCCUCCUUCAAUAAGAGCUUCCUUCAAAUUACUGAAAAGCUGACCAGGUGGCCUAAUCCCUUUGUCCAACAUCUCUUGGAAAUACACGCAAGCUUCUUCCAGCCUGUUCUCAAAGCAUAACCCAUUGAUCAAUGAAGAAAACAUGUGCAUACAUGGCAGAACACCUUUCUCCUUCAUUUGCUUCCACACCUUCAAGGCCAUAUCAACCCUUUCAUUACUGCAGAACAUGCCAACCAUCAUUGUGUAUGUAUUGAGCUGAGGCUCACAGCCUUCCAUCCCCAUUCGCUGGAAUACAUUAUAAGCCUCUUCUAUCUUCUGAGAUUUUAUAAGAUACUGCAGAAUAAUAUCAUAAGUCCGGGCAUUUGGGCCAAUUCCAGUCUUUCUCAUCUCAUCAACCAUCUUGAAGGCAUGCUGGAACUUUGAGGAUCUGCAGUAAGCACCAACAACUGCAUUGCAUGUAGGUACCUCCAUGGGGAAUCCACUGGCCUUAGAAAGCUCGAAAUACUUCAAAGCCUCAUCCAGCCUCUCCUCUGAACCAAGCCCGUUGAUAAGCAUGCAAUACACAUGAGGGCUUGGCAUGCAACCAUUCGCUUCCAUCUCACGGAACACCUUGAUGGCUUCAUCGCAUUUGCCAGACUUGCAAAAAGAACUGAUGAGUGUUCCAUACGCUACGACAUCAGGCUUAAUGCCUGCAUCCAACAUUUCUUGGUAAACUGACUUGAGCAUCAACAAGUCCUUCUCAUGGCCCCAGCCUUCCAUAAGUACAGUGUAGGUCUUCAAAUCAGGUACAAACCUACCAUUCCUCUUCAUCUCCUUAAAAAUGGCAUGCGCCUUCUUGACUUGCUUGGAUUUGCUCAGUACAUCUAUCAGCCAGUUGUAAUCCGACAAGUCUGCUUUCAGCCCAAAACUGCUCAUCUUCUCGAACGUCUCGACGGCUUCCUUGACCUUCCUCGCCCGGGCAUACCUCCUGACAAUGAGACGGAAUGUGUCCUUAGAAAGCAAGCCGCGGCACCGCAUGGCCUCGACCAAGCUCCACACCAGCCUGAACUGCUUGAUCUUGCCGAGCGCCUCAAUCAAGUUGUGGAAGCUCUCGGCCGUGUACCUAAAGCCCUGCUGCCUCUCUGCCCACCGAAAGAAGGCGAGCGCGAGAAUGCCUGCGUUGCUCAGGUUCCUUAACACCUCCGCCACCAGCUCCGGUGACAUGUUCACUCCAAGCGCAUCGAGCGCCGACGCGAUUCUUGGUUCCGGCUGGCUGGACACGACGCGGCAGACCCUCUCGGCCACCUCGGAGACGUCGGAGCCCGGGCCGUCCCCAUCGGUGCCUGGCACUACCGUGAACUGCUGGUCCACGGACAGUUCGUGGGUGGCGGCGGCGGGCCCUGCGGCGGUGCAGAACAACGAGCUACGCAUUCCGCCGAGCACGUGCCUGGCGUGCGCGAGCGGCGCAAGACAGGGGCGCGAGGGAAGCAGGGGAAGCAUCUCGUCGAACACCGUGCGGGCGUUCUUGGCGGGGGCGCUCUUCGCUGUGAAGAGUAGGUGGAUGGCUGCGCCGCGGCGGCGGCUGAGGUAGCGCAUCGUGGAAGCGAAGUGCUCUCGGCGGUUGCAGGGAGUGUGUUUUGGUGGAAGAGCUAUUUCGGAGCCCCCCGUGUCCCACAAGAGGUGAUCAACCAGGCCGGCGCUACCCAGGACCAGGACCGACUGACCGAGGCCGAGACCCUUUUUAUCCGGGAGGAAGUUUUUGUAAGAUUUUAGUCUUUAGUUUUUCCCUAUAUAAUUUGUUCGAUCUAGUAUAUGAAACUUAGGAUUUUGAAUGUCCGUUAAGUCCAAAUCCAUUGGAUUUUUUUUCUUUGUUGUGUCUACCACAACCAUGGUAGCCCAAAAGUAUUCAUAAUUGGUUGCCGUUGGUACUAACCAAACCAUUUAUAUUAUUCGAUGUGUCUCAAUUCCCUCCCUUUUUUUCACACAACCUAUCACACUAGGUGAAAGUGGUAAGAAUAGUUACCGACCGGAUCCGUUUCUGAAUCUGACAGUAUAAAAUACAGGAAAAGAAAUAACUAUUCGGUCGGAUCCUGUAUAAAAUAUGGUACGAGUGUUAUCCAGUAGAGACCAAUCAUUAUCCGUUUCCGAUACGCCAUCUCUACGCUACCGUACCAUAUUCGUUUCCACAUCCAAAUCUGCAUCCGUACUGUUUUUGAAUUUGACAAAAAUACGAAAUAUGUUAUGGUAUGAGGAGUAGAUCCCUCUCCUCAUGACCAUCCACCAUAGCCCCUCCUCCUUUCCACAGCGGUCGCCCUUAUGAGCUACUCCCUCCGUUUUAUAAUUCUUGUCGAAAUAUUAUAUGUAUCUAGACAGUUUUAGAAAUAGAUAAAUCCAUUUUUUAACAAAUUAUAAAUCCAUUUUUAGACAAAUUUUGAACAAAAAUUAUAAAACCGAGGGAGUACUUAGUAGGAUCGUCUCCUGCCUACCAACCAAGGAAGCCUUGCAUGGCCACCUUCUCCCAGCACCAAGGCGGCAUACACGAGGCUUCUCCGAUGUCGGAAUAAAGUAGCUUCCUUCAUCCGUGAGAAAGCUGGUGUGGUGACCCUACCUACAGGUACAUGGAUGUGCAUUCAGGAUGCCGUUGGGGAGGGUGUGGGUUCACCCGUAUUUUGCCUUCCCCAUACCCAAACAGUGGAAUCCCCAUCUUUACCCUCCCCAUAAUUUGCCCAUUCCCCGUUUUACCCGUGUUUAUCCUGCAUACGGCUUUGAACUGCAGCAGGUUGUAAUGAAAUUUCUCUAAAACAACAUGCACUGAGCUCGAAUUGCACACAAAGAAAGAGAACACCGAGCGGAUCCUGCAUUUGGGAUCUAAAUCAAAACACAUAACCAAAUUAUUUGAUGCAGAUCGAAGAAAUAAGAAGGAAAAAUCCCCAAAAUUAGAACUAGAGGCACCAUCGAGAGAGGAGGUGGCCGCCCAGCUCAGCGAGAGAGAAGCUCUCCCCUCGCAGCCCUGGUGUCUUCCUGUACGUCGGCGGCCCUUGCCUCGCAGGCUCGCCGGCGGUCGGUCGCUGCGGCACCCAGUUGGUGAGGAAUCGAGAGAACCGAGCGCUUCGGGAGAAGGGAGAAACUCAGGACGUGGGGCAGCAGGCGGCAUUGGCGCAGGCGGAGGCGCACGGCGGCGGGCGGCACAAGCGGAGUCUCAGGCGGCAGAUGGAAUCGGGCGACUUGCUUAUCCAUGGCAGGCUCCCCAUCUAGUAUGGGAUGUACGGGUAAUAUCCAUUACCCUCCCCAGUUUGUAUGGGCAAAUUUUUGACCCAUACCCGACCCAAUUGAAUGGGUAUGGAUAGGGUAAUGGGUAUUGGAUACCCACCGGCAUCCUGAAUGUGCAUCCUCGUCAAUCUCACACGUCACAUCCAAUCCAUGCCACACUACCUGAAAAACCCCUUGUAUUGAAGGGUACAGAAGCCGC